rnacentral:rRNA from 1 species
GGCCUGGCGGGAUGGUCCGCCUUACGGUGUGUACUGUCCGGCCGGGUCUUACCUCCUGGUGAGCCCGUAUGUCCUUUAUUGGGUGUGCGGUGGAACCAGGAAUUUUACCUUGAGAAAAUUAGAGUGUUCAAAGCAGGCAUAAGCCCGAAUACAUUAGCAUGGAAUAAUAGAAUAGGACGC